rnacentral:rRNA from 1 species
CCUACGGGAGGCAGCAGUCGAGAAUCAUUCACAAUGGGGGAAACCCUGAUGGUGCGACGCCGCGUGGGGGAAUGAAGGUCUUCGGAUUGUAAACCCCUGUCAUGUGGGAGCAAAUUAAAAAGAUAGUACCACAAGAGGAAGAGACGGCUAACUCUGUGCCAGCAGCCGCGGUAAUACAGAGGUCUCAAGCGUUGUUCGGAAUCACUGGGCGUAAAGCGUGCGUAGGCUGUUUCGUAAGUCGUGUGUGAAAGGCGCGGGCUCAACCCGCGGACGGCACAUGAUACUGCGAGACUAGAGUAAGGGAGGGGGAACCGGAAUUCUCGGUGUAGCAGUGAAAUGCGUAGAUAUCGAGAGGAACACUCGUGGCGAAGGCGGGUUCCUGGACAUUAACUGACGCUGAGGCACGAAGGCGAGGGGAGCGAAAGGGAUUAGAUACCCUUGUAGUC